UACGUAGGGUGCAAGCGUUGUCCGGAAUUAUUGGGCGUAAAGAGCUCGUAGGCGGUUUGUCGCGUCUGCCGUGAAAGUCCGGGGCUCAACUCCGGAUCUGCGGUGGGUACGGGCAGACUAGAGUGAUGUAGGGGAGACUGGAAUUCCUGGUGUAGCGGUGAAAUGCGCAGAUAUCAGGAGGAACACCGAUGGCGAAGGCAGGUCUCUGGGCAUUAACUGACGCUGAGGAGCGAAGGCAUGGGGAGCGAACAGG
rnacentral:rRNA from 1 species